rnacentral:rRNA from 1 species
UACAGAGGGGGCAAGCGUUGUCCGGAAUCACUGGGCGUAAAGGGCGCGUAGGCGGCCUUCUAAGUCGAACGUGAAAUCCCCGGGCUCAACCCGGGAACUGCGUCCGAUACUGGAAGGCUUGAAUCCGGGAGAGGGAUGUGGAAUUCCAGGUGUAGCGGUGAAAUGCGUAGAUAUCUGGAGGAACACCGGUGGCGAAGGCGACAUCCUGGACCGGUAUUGACGCUGACGGCGCGAAAGCCAGGGGAGCAAAGCGGGAUUAA